rnacentral:lncRNA from 1 species
GCGAUUGAAUAGAUUAAAAACCAUAAUGCAUUAAAAUGUUGUACAAUUGUAUUUCAAGAAAUUUGUACAUAUAAUUUAUACAUAUAUACCAGCAGCUGAUUACUAACCUGGGUAAUCAGUAGAAUAUUACAGGAUGCAUAAAAAAAAGCUUGGUUUCUUGAAGUAACAAUGUAACAAGCAUGUUUGGUGAAUAAAUAUAUAAUGUCGUUAAAAAAA